GGAGGCGUCAGGGUGUCUGGUGACCCCCGCGGCCUCUAAAGCCGACGUGGCCCGGCAACCGGGUCAGGCGGGUUCGAUUCCCGUCCGCCUCCGCCAU
rnacentral:tRNA from 1 species